AAUGAACGCUGGCGGCGUGGUUAAGACAUGCAAGUCGAACGGGAUAUUAGGUGUAGCAAUACAUCUGAUGUUCAGUGGCGAACGGGUGCGUAACACGUGAACAAUCUACCUUUAAGUGUGGAAUAGCUCGGCGAAAGCCGAAUUAAUACCGCAUGUGGUGGCCUCUCUCCUGAGAGACCUACUAAAGUCGGGGACCGCAAGGCCUGACGCUUGAAGAGGAGUUCGCGGCCUAUCAGCUAGUUGGCGAGGUAACGGCUCACCAAGGCUAAGACGGGUAGCUGGUCUGAGAGGAUGAUCAGCCACAC
rnacentral:rRNA from 1 species